rnacentral:misc_RNA from 1 species
GUUUUAGCUUCACAGAGGCUAAGAACUGGUGCCAUAGAUCCACUUUCACCAAACUGGGGCUCCGAUCCACCAUCACGGACAUCAAAGACGGCACCGUAAUGCACUGCUGGGUCCCAACGUCCCAGCNNNNNNNNNNNNCUCCUCCUUAUUCAUGGCUUAGGCGCUAACGCAUUGUGGCAGUGGGUUGAUGUCAUCCGCCACUUCACUCCUUGCUUCAACGUCUACGUUCCUGACUUAGUCUUCUUCGGCGAGUCGUUCACCACUCGGCCGGAGCGGAACGAGUCGUUCCAAGCGCAGUGCGUCAUGCGAGUCAUGGAGGCCUACUCGGUGCGGAAGCUGAGCUUGGUUGGGCUUAGUUACGGUGGGUUCGUUGGGUACUGUAUAGCGGCGCAGUACAAGGAAGCUGUGGAGAGAGUGGUGUUGUGUUGUUCUGGGAUUUGUAUGGAAGAGAAGGAUUUGAGGGAAGGGGUUUUUACAGUUUCGGAUUUGGAAGAGGCUGCAAGUAUUUUGGUGCCAUUGAAACCAGAUAAGCUGAGAGAGUUGGUGGGUUUUACGUUU